AAAUAAAUAAGAAAAAUUUGCUACAAAGCAUUCCCAUCAGCUGUUUACUGUGUAGUCCUCUUACCCCCUUGAUCCUGCCCAGAAGCAAUCUAACAAUCAGCAGUCAUUUUUAUUUUUAUCAUCAGCGAUGUUCCUAAGAGCCAUAGGUGACAGUCUACCUGUAUCAGAUUUCCAGGGGAACAGAGCUAAGAAGUUCACUGGAAGUCAGAUUUUCAUACAGAAGAGGAAAAGAUUUUGUGAACUCAGUGUCCACAAUUCCCAAAUGCUAAAAGAAUUUUAGCAGUUUUCUUUGUCAUCCAUAGACGGUUUUCUUUCUUCCAGGCCUACGAGUGUCAGAGACAGCCCUCAAAUAAUAGCAGACAGGCCUUUUUUGCCUUUCAGAUGCCUUUCCCCCUCUGCGAUGGUGAUAUAAGUACUCCCAAAACACUGUUUCUACUACUCUCACGCUCUUCAUGCAGCCUGACUAUAAGAUGCGCUAUUCCACCUUUCAUCCCUGGUAUCCCAUACGGCGCUAGAUGUAAGAGAAUGUCAGUGCUCAGGAAACGUGUGAGCAAAUGAAUGAAUGAAGGAAUGAAUGAAAGGGGGAUGAGCCAUCUAAGUGCCUUAUCCCUUUUCUCACAUUGCCCCUAGAUUUGGGUACCUGGCUGAGUUUGGGGCUGGCAGCCUUCAGCACACCAAUGGCGUCAAUGGCAGGUGUGCAUGGGACAAGAACAUAUGCUGUCAUGAUUGUGCUACAGUUUCUUUAAGAACACCAGGUGACCACGCAGGCCUGGGGGGAUGACUCACACUCGUCAUGCCAAAGCCAAAGGAUCAGGCUGACCCCCCAUAAAGUCAGAUAGCACAGAGGGGAUGCCCCCAUGCCAUUUUUCCAUCUGCUUCUCUGGGAAAAGGCGAGCCAGGCAGUGGCUCUAUGACCCCUCUCCGCUCUCACUGAGUGGAGUUCAGUCCUCAACUGAGAAACCCCUACAUUUUAACAUAGUCAUACUGGCAACAACUACAACUUAGCAGGUCUUACCAGUGCUUUAUAACCAUUAUCUCAAGUAAUCCCCCCUGUCAUCACCCCAUUUUAUAGAGAAGAAAUCUCUUUGUGUUUCUCUUGGUCACUGCACUGUGAUAAGUUGAACCCAUAAUGUUAACCAAUAAAGUAGCCACACAGACAGAAGUCACGACAGGAAAUAAAUCCCUAAGGUAAAAGACAAUUCCCUGGCAAUUGUGUGAAGCAACAAUCCCUGCCCUUUACUCCUCUACCCAAGGUCUUGCUUGUUUCUUUCUAAGUUGCCUCUCUAUCUAGCUUGCAGGAUUUGAGUUGAGGGAAACACAGACUUCCAUGAGUUUGGGAACUACGAGAGAAAAGACAGACAAAGUCAAAUCUACAGCAUAUCUCUCACCUCAGGAACUGGAAGACGUAUUUUAUCUAUAUGAUGUAAAGUCUGAAAUAUACAGCUUUGGAAUCGUCCUCUGGGAAAUCGCCACUGGAGAUAUCCCGUUUCAAGGUGAAGAAUGUGAAGACUGGCUCAGCCAGUGGUGGGGUUGGGUCCCCUUCCAGUAGACCAGAAAUUCCCCAUCAGUGCUGCCCCUGGCGAUUUGUUGUUUAAUGUCGGAACUGCCUGGGCCGGUCAGUGGAAUCGUUGGAAGCUCUUGUUGUUUCCAUACUCAGAGUCCCUAGUUCUGAUGCCAGCCAUCAGCAUCCAGAGAGAUGUACGAGUACUGGAGCAAUUUUUUGAGGCUCUCAUGCUAUCAUUUCCAGGCUGUAAUUCUGAGGAGAUCCGCAAGCUGGUGUCUGUGGAGCGGGAGCAGGAGCCGCUGGGUGAAGACUGCCCUUCAGAGCUGCGGGAGAUCAUUGAUCAGUGCCGGGCCCAUGAUCCCUCUUUGCGGCCCUCCGUGGAUGAAAUCUUAAAGAAACUCUCCACCUUUUCUAAGUAGUGUAUCAAAAUCUAAACCAAGGAGUCUCUGGACAAGAAGCUGGGAGAGGCACAAACUGGACAUCUCUCUCUCUCAUAUCCUUCGGCAUUGGGUUAUCUAUGGGUGCAAGGAGUGGGCACACUUCUCUGUUAGAAAUAGAAAAUGAUUCCAGUCAUACAGGACACAUCCCACUCCAAAUGAUAUUUCCAAAAACAUACCUCUGACAGUAACUUUGAUAGAUGGUUUGCCAAAUGUAUCUUUCUGGGUAUCCGCACCUCUUGGCAAUGAAAUUUGCAGCUCCUCCCUUCCAUAAAUGAAGUCUUUUCCCCCACCAUUUGAAUCUAGGCUGGCACUGUGACUUGAUUUGAUCAAUAGAAUGUGGAAGAAGUGACUGUGUGCCGGUUCCAAGCCUAGGUUUCAAGAGGCCUUAUAAAUGUCUGUUGGAACCUUACCCAGCCAUGAACAUGUUGAGUGAGCAUGCUGGAGAAUGAGAGACCACAUGAAGCAGAAACAUGCUUUCCUAGCUGAAGUCAUACUAGACCAACCAACAUGGCAGCUAACACAUGAAUGAGGCCAAUCAAGACCAGAAGAACCACUCAAGCAGAGCCCAGCCCAAAUUGCCCAUUCACACAAUCAGGAGCUAAAUAAAUUACUGUUGUCUUAACACU
rnacentral:sRNA from 1 species